rnacentral:tRNA from 1 species
GGAUUGUGGCUCAGCGGUGGAGCACUCGCCUAGCACGUGUGAGGCCCUGGGUUCAAUCCUCAGCACCA